rnacentral:rRNA from 1 species
GAUGAACGCUGGCGGCGUGCCUAAUACAUGCAAGUCGAGCGAACAGACGAGGAGCUUGCUCCUCUGACGUUAGCGGCGGACGGGUGAGUAACACGUGGAUAACCUACCUAUAAGACUGGGAUAACUUCGGGAAACCGGAGCUAAUACCGGAUAAUAUAUUGAACCGCAUGGUUCAAUAGUGAAAGACGGUUUUGCUGUCACUUAUAGAUGGAUCCGCGCCGCAUUAGCUAGUUGGUAAGGUAACGGCUUACCAAGGCAACGAUGCGUAGCCGACCUGAGAGGGUGAUCGGCCACACUGGAACUGAGACACGGACCAGACUCCUACGGGAGGCAGCAGUAGGGAAUCUUCCGCAAUGGGCGAAAGCCUGACGGAGCAACGCCGCGUGAGUGAUGAAGGUCUUCGGAUCGUAAAACUCUGUUAUUAGGGAAGAACAAAUGUGUAAGUAACUAUGCACGUCCUGACGGUACCUAAUCAGAAAGCCACGGCUAACUACGUG